rnacentral:rRNA from 1 species
AAUAUUGGACAAUGUGCGCAAGCCUGAUCCAGCCAUGCCGCGUGCGUGAGGAAGGCCUUCGUGUUGUAAAGCUCUUUCGGAGGGGCAGAAAUCGCUCAGGCUAAUUCCCUGCGCGGAUGCCGGUACCUUCUUAAGAAGCACCGCCUAACUACGUGCCGCUAGCCGCGGUAAUACGUAUGGUGCGAGCGUGAAUCGGAAUUACUGGGCGUAAAGCGUGGGCAGGCGGUUGAUUAAGACAGGCGUGAAAUCCCCGGGGUUAACCUGGGAACUGAGCUUGUGACUGGUCAGCUAGCGUACGGAAGAGGGGGGUGGAAUUCCACGUGUAGCAGUGAAAUGCGUAGAGAUGUGGAGGAACACCGAUGGCGAAGGCAGCCCCCUGGGCCGAUACUGACGCUCAUGCACGAAAGCAUGGGUAGCAAACAGGA